UACAUGCAAGUCGAGGGGCAGCAUUUACUUCGGUAAAUGGCGACCGGCGCACGGGUGAGUAACGCGUAUGUAACCUACCUUUAACUGGGGCAUAGCUCGAGGAAACUCGAAUUAAUUCCCCAUAGUACAUUAUAAUAUCACAUGAUAUAAAUGUUAAAGAUUUAUCGGUUAAAGAUGGGCAUGCGUCUGAUUAGUUUGUUGGUAAGGUAACGGCUUACCAAGACUACGAUCAGUAGGGGGUCUGAGAGGAUGAUCCCCCACACUGGUACUGAGACACGGACCAGACAUCUACGGAUGGCAGCAGUAAGGAAUAUUGGGCAAUGGGCGCAAGCCUGACCCAGCCAUGCCGCGUGCAGGAUGACGACCCUAUGGGUUGUAAACUGCUUUUAUAUAGGAAGAAAAUACUCUUGUGAGAGGAUCUGACGGUACUAUAUGAAUAAGGACCGGCUAACUCCGUGCCAGCAGCCGCGGUAAUACGGAGGGUUCAAGCGUUUUCCGGAUUUAUUGGGUUUAAAGGGUGCGUAGGUGGUUUAUUAAGUCAGUGGUGAAAUCCUGCAGCUCAACUGUAGAACUGCCAUUGAUACUGGUAAACUUGAGUUUGGUUUAGGUAAGUGGAAUUUAUGAUGUAGCGGUGAAAUGCAUAGAUAUCAUAAGGAACACCAAUAGCGAAGGCAGCUUACUGGACCAUAACUGACACUGAGGCACGAAAGCGUGGGUAGCGAACAGGAUUAGAUACCCUGGUAGUCCACGCCGUAAACGAUGCUCACUCGAUGUUAGCGAUAUACUGUUAGCGUCCAAGCUAAAGCGUUAAGUGAGCCACCUGGGGAGUACGCCG
rnacentral:rRNA from 1 species